ensembl:lncRNA
AGGGGCUGUUUGCGGGGUGGGGUGGGGGGUUCGCUAUGUCGGAUGACGAUUCGAGGGCCAGCACCAGCUCCUCCUCAUCUUCGUCCUCCAACCAGCAAACCGAGAAAGAAACAAACACCCCCAAGAAGAAGGAGAGUAAAGUCAGCAUGAGCAAAAACUCCAAACUCCUCUCCACCAGCGCCAAGAGGAUUCAGAAGGAAUUGGCAGACAUCACUUUAGACCCGCCUCCUAACUGCAGGUGAGGUCCCUUUCCUUUUUUUUUUUUUUUUUUUCUUUCUUUUUAAACUUUUAGUGUUGUUCUUAUUAUAAACUUUGGUUUUUGUUCUUCGGUUAAUGCUUGUUUGGGUGCUAACGUAAGUUAACAGCUGACGUUUGAUAACUUGAGUAUGGUGUUUUGCUGAGCCUCUGACCAUUUCAGUAAUGUGUUGGAGAGAAGUAAUGGAUUUUAUUUGGAGUGGACACUUUUACAUACACGAAACAAAACUAUAAAAUGAAUUCAAAGAUGUAUCCUCCCUAGUCAUGGAUCUUUGAUAGGACAUUAAGCAUAAUGUUAAAACCUUUUAAAAGAUACUUAGGCACGUUUUAGUUUAGAAAGUUGCUUUAUUAACUUAAUCUGUUAUUCAGGCUCUCUACUAAACUAGUAGAGCAUAGAGUCAAACAUAUUUUGUAUAUAUUUUGUGUUGGACUUUGGGCAGACCAGUUCAGGAAAUAAUUUGUGGUUUUGAUAAAAAGGUUUUGCUUUAGAUUAUUUUACAGAUUUAUGCUCUUCCAUAGGGAUGUUUCUCCUUGAAAUUGCUUUACUCAGACUGUAUACACACGUGUGUUUCAGCUUCAGAAUAAAUUGAUACCAACGUUUGAAAGAUUUGUUGAUGAUUUUAUUUAAUUGGCUGCUGUUGAGUCAAGGUGGAGAACUUGAUGAUUUUACUAAAUCAACAAUGAAGUGAGGAUGGACUUGUAUGUUACAAUAGAGCCUUUUGCUAGAGAUUAAUUGUUCAGUUCUAUUACUCCCAUAGUUGUACAAUAGUUAACCUAAUUCUCACUUCUCAGGAUUGACAUUGGAAUGGGAUGUGAGAUUUUAGAAGUGAACUAAACUUAGAAGUAGAGGUAGAAGUUCUUAGUGACAAAAGGGUAUUCAUUCAGUGGUUAUACCCAGAAUUUAAAAUGAGCCUGUGGAAAUACUCAGGUUGAAAAGCUAAAUGAAAUAUUUUGCUUAUUAACACUGAACUUUCAAAACUUUUGAAACUUUAAUAUUGCCAUCUUAAUGUCGGUCAGUUGUGGGAUGCUCUUUGGUAAAGUUUUGUCCUGCUUGUAAAAAAAGUAAAUCAUUUUUCGUUUGAAUGCUCUUAAACCGUAGUUAGUAACCACUUAAUCAUUCUGGAGGACUUCUCUCAUGGAUGCUAAGAAUCUUUUCAGAUUGUUUUUCUGGGCAGUGGAGAAAUGACUAAGGCUUAGGGCUGUGAUGUUUUCCUUUUUUAUUUUAGUGGAGUCAUGGUUCUGAUGGAGGCCUGUUCUUCCCCUGGUUGGUUGUGUAGAGGGCAUGGGUCCUCCCUGGGGUAGAUCUGUGUGCUGUGUAGUUGUUGCCCCGUUCACUGUAGUGUCUCUUCUAUGUGAGUCUCUUGUGAGUUCAGGCAUCUUUAGCUUAUCAAAUUACCAAGUUUUUUUGUUUUUUGUUUUUUGUCUUUUUGUGGUUUCUAGGGUGUCGAAUCAGAGCUACAGCUGCUGGCCUGUGCCAUGGCCACAGCAAUGCUAUGCAGGAUCCAAGCCACAUCCGUGACUACACCUUAACCCACUGAGCGAGGCCAGGGAUCGAACUUGCAACCUCAGGGUUACUUGUCAAAUCCAUUUCAGCUGUGCUACAAUGGGAACUCCCUCCCUAAUAAUUAACAAUGUAGCAAAAACUGAUUUCUAUCUGCCUUCUAAAGAACCUGUACCUAACAAAGUGAAAUACCAGGUCAAAAUAAAGGGAUGAUAUUACCCACCUCUCACAUGGCAUUCAGCAUUGUGUUUACCACAGGUGUCACAUCUGACUUGCCUGUAGUGACCUGUGUCAGUACUAAAUUUUAAAAGGACAGAGUCAAUGAGAAGUCCAAGUGGAUCUACCAGCGUUGAAUCAUGGCCGUUUAUGUAUAAGAUCUGGACAUUGGGUGUUUGUAUCUGUUUAAAUUGAUAGAUGGAAAACUAAUGUGGGAUGGAACCAAGUAAGUUCUGUAGAAAAAGACAUUGAAGCACAUUUUCAAAUAGAUAGAGCCGCAUGGAAUGACUUUACUUAGAGAAAAGUUUUAGAGAGGACACAGUUCAAAAAGAAUUAUCAUCAGGAAGCAGUGCUGUACAAGAGUGACAGCAGAUGAGUGAAUCUGAUCACAUUCAUUUAAAAUGCGCACAGACUUUUUAUUGUGCUUCUUCUUGAUUAUGAUCCACAGAUAGCAUGAUUUUUGCGGAUCGAAGAUUUGUGGCAACUCUGCAUUGUCAGGUGAUAGCCUUUUUUAGCAAUAGUUAUUGUUUAAGGUGUGUACAUGACUUUUUUGUAGACAUGAUGCUGUUGCAGUUUGACUGCAGUAUAGCAUAAAGGUAACUUAUAUAUGCUCUGGGAAACCAAAAAAUAAAAUGUGUGUGGCUCGCUGUGUUAUGAUAUUUGCUUUACAAAGGUGGUCUGGAUAUGAACUGGCAAUAUCUCCAAGGUGUGUCUUUCGUGUGCUAGGCUCUGUGGGCAGCGGAAACAGACCUGGCCUCGGGCUUGUAUAGCCUGAGUUUUAGUAGGCAGUAUAGACAGUAACCAGGUUAGAGGACUAGUAAGUACAGGUUGUAUUGGUUCGAAGGAGAGAAAUUAACAGUGCUGUGAUGGAGAACACUUAGGUGAGGGGAACUUAAAGAAGACUUAAAAGGACAUUUAAGCAAAGGCGAGAAAGUGAAAAUCACCACACAUCCCUGGAAAGAGCAUCACAGACAGAGCAGCAGGAACACAGGCUGUGCGCUGGGGAGAUCCACAUGAUGUGGGGUCAUGUCAACUAUGGUAGAGUUUGGAUUUCAUUCUAGGAGCAAGGAGGAGCCAUUCAGGGUUUUGGAGCAAGGAAGUGACAUUAUUUCAGUAAUGAUUUGAAAGUCUUUUCCCACCCUCCUUGCUAUGUGGAGGCAUUAUGUGUUACUUGCUAUGUGGAUACAGUUCUCUUCUCUCCCUCCACCAGAAAAAGUUAACUUCUGCCUUACUAGAUUUAAGUCGUUAUUACAAACGACUUUUUUAUUUUAUUUACUUUUGGCUGUGCGUGUUGCAUGUAGACACUCCCAGGCCAGGGAUGGAACCCACACCACAGCGGUGACAACACUGAGUCCUUAACCUCUAGGCCACCAUGAAACUCCCAUUUGUAAUCUUUACGGCUAACAAUGUAGUAUGGAUACCAUGUAUAAAUAGUGUGCAGUUCAUGUAUUACAUCUUUACUUUUUUUUAAUCUUCUUAGUGCCACACUCAAGGCAUAUGGAGGUUCCCAGGUUAAGGAUCGAAUUGGAGCUGUAGCCUCUGGCCACAGCCACAGCAAAGCCAGGUCUAAGCCACCUCUUCAACAUACACCGCAGUUCAUGGCAAGGCUGGAUCCUUAACCCACUGAUCGAGGCCAGGGAUCGAACCAGCAACCUCAUCGUUCCUAGUCAGAUUCGUUAACCACUGAGCCACGAUGGGAACUCCAUCAAAUUUUUUCAUCCUUUUAAGGUUGACUGUUAUGUUAAUGUUUUACAGUGACUGUAUGUGGAACUCUUAAAGCAUCAUAUGAGUAUCAUCUUUCCAGUCAUCUACCCAUCACGUUUUAUUAAUUUGUCAGAUUAUCCCAGGUACUCUUGGUCCUGUGUACUUUGAUAAUUGAGAUUGUCCCUUUUUCUGAGAUUGGUUCUCAAGACACAUCCUUGUAAAUUACACGCAGUAGGCCAGGCACUUAGAGUUAUUGCUGAAUGUGGUUAACAAUUUCAUAGAGAAUGUCCCACAAUGAAAAUGUUUAUUUUAGUUCUUCCCAUCAGAGCACUAAGUUUACAUAGCAGCUUUGUAGAAAAAUUCAGAUGCCACAUUCCCAUUCAGAUUUAGAGUGGGUGGGGGAGUUGGGGAAGUGCACAAAUAUCUUAAGUGAUCUAGUUUGUGUCUUUAUUUCACAUCGCAAAAGUUGCUGUCAAGGCACUACAUUUUUAGUCUCAAAAAUAUGGUAUAUUUCUUUUCUUUCUUUUUUUUUUUUUUUCAAGGGCUCCAUGCGUGGCACAUGGAAGUUCCCAGGCUGGAGUUGAAUUAGAGCUGUAGCUGCUGACCUACGCCACAGCCACACCAGAUCCGAGCCCUGUCUGCGACCUACACCACAGCUCACGACAACACUAGAUCCUUCACCCACUGAACGAGGCUAGGGAUCGAACCCGAAUUCUUAUGGUAAAUAGUCAGAUUUGUUUCCAACUGUACUACAACAGGAACUCCCUGGUGUAUUUCAUUGAUAUUAGCUUUGUUUAAAAGUGGGUUUUUUGGGAUAUGAUUGAUAUUUUCCACAUUUUAAAACAAUUAGAAGUUAUCUUGUAAUAGUAAAUAAAUAUUUGGAGGAGAAAUUAUUUAUGCGAUCUCUUACUCCAGUAACUUUGACAGAUUUCUAAAUUAAAAUUGACAACAAAGAGAGUUCCCAUUGUGGCUCAGUGGGUUAAGAAUCCAAUGCAGUGUCUUUGAGGAUAUGGGUUUGAUCCCUGGCCUUGCUCAGUGGGUUGAGGAUCCAGAGUUGCCAUGAGCCGGGGUAUAGGUUGCAGAUGUUUCUGUGGCUGUGCUGUACGCUCUGCCUGCAUCCGAAUUCAACCAGGAAGUUCUGUAUGCUGUAGGUAUGGCUGU